AUUCGAUUUCGCGUACGAGCACAUCUCGUGAAGCAAUUUGAAUUCGAGCUUGGAGUGUCUUGAAGUUGUGGAUCGUGCCAAGGCAUACUCAAUUGGCAGUGAGGAACGAAUUCAGGUUAUCGGGUUAUGGAGGCAUUGCAAGAGAUGAUAGGGGUAGAUGGUUAGGAGGAUUUGUGGGGCGAUUAGGUGUGGUAACAACGUUGUGUCUCACGGCAGAAUUGUGGGUCAUACAUGGCGGGCUGACCCUGGCGAAGAAGUUCAACCUAAAGAACGUCAUCAUCGAGACUGACUCUCAUGAAGCAUUGAUGCUCAUGAGAAAGGGAUGCGUUGUCGACAAUCACCCUGACCGUGACGUGAUUGAAGAGUGUCAGCGUCUUAUGUCCGAACUUGGGAUCUCCAUGGUGCAUACUCUAAGGGAAGGGAAUAGUUGUGCAGAUCACCUAGCGAAACUAGGAAGAAUGCAACUAGAUGAAGACCUCGUAAUAUUACAUCGUCCGCCACAUUCCAUGCACCA